CCGGCUAGAAUCCGGCCUCGGAAUUCCUGUCGUCCGGUGGAAUCCGGGGUGUCGGACUUCUAGAGGAGGGUAGGAUUUAUGUUUUACUAUGUGUGAUAUGUGUUUUACUGCUUUAACUAAGUUUUGAGUUGAAAUGACCCAAGGCUGAUGAGCCAAGUUCGGCCGCCGAAGGUAAGUUCGGCCGCCGAAAGUGCUCAAUGUUCGGCUUCCGAAUUGAGGUUCGGCCCCCGAAUGUUGCAUGGUUUUGCAUGCGCUUCGGCAGCCGAAGCUGAGUUGCUGAGCCAGCAGUUUUGUAUCCCUUAGUCAGCUUGUUGGACAGGUGUUAUCACCAGAUUAUGUCCAGAAG
rnacentral:lncRNA from 1 species